AGAGUUUGAUCCUGGCUCAGAUUGAACGCUGGCGGCAUGCCUUACACAUGCAAGUCGAACGGCAGCACGGGGCAACCUGGUGGCGAGUGGCGAACGGGUGAGUAAUGCAUCGGAACGUGCCAUUGAGUGGGGGAUAACGUAGCGAAAGUUGCGCUAAUACCGCAUAUUCUGUGAGCAGGAAAGCAGGGGACCGCAAGGCCUUGCGCUCUUUGAGCGGCCGAUGUCAGAUUAGCUAGUUGGUGAGGUAACGGCUUACCAAGGCGACGAUCUGUAGCGGGUCUGAGAGGAUGAUCCGCCACACUGGAACUGAGACACGGUCCAGACUCCUACGGGAGGCAGCAGUGGGGAAUUUUGGACAAUGGGGGCAACCCUGAUCCAGCCAUGCCGCGUGAGUGAAGAAGGCCUUCGGGUUGUAAAGCUCUUUCGGCCGGGAAGAAAUCGCAUGGGCCAAUACCCUGUGUGGAUGACGGUACCGGAAUAAGAAGCACCGGCUAACUACGUGCCAGCAGCCGCGGUAAUACGUAGGGUGCGAGCGUUAACCGGAAUUACUGGGCGUAAAGCGUGCGCGGGCGGUUUUGUAAGACAGGCGUGAAAUCCCCGGGCUCAACCUGGGAACUGCGUUUGUGACUGCAAGGCUAGAGUACGGCAGAGGGGGGUGGAAUUCCACGUGUAGCAGUGAAAUGCGUAGAGAUGUGGAGGAACACCAAUGGCGAAGGCAGCCCCCUGGGUCGAUACUGACGCUCAUGCACGAAAGCGUGGGUAGCAAACAGGAUUAGAUACCCUGGUAGUCCACGCCCUAAACUAUGUCAACUAGGUGUUGGGUGGGUAAAACCAUUCAGUACCGUAGCUAACGCGUGAAGUUGACCGCCUGGGGAGUACGGCCGCAAGGUUAAAACUCAAAGGAAUUGACGGGGACCCGCACAAGCGGUGGAUGAUGUGGAUUAAUUCGAUGCAACGCGAAAAACCUUACCUACCCUUGACAUGCCAGGAACUUGCCAGAGAUGGCUUGGUGCCCGAAAGGGAGCCUGGACACAGGUGCUGCAUGGCUGUCGUCAGCUCGUGUCGUGAGAUGUUGGGUUAAGUCCCGCAACGAGCGCAACCCUUGUCGUUAAUUGCCAUCAUUUAGUUGGGCACUUUAGCGAGACUGCCGGUGAUAAGUCGGAGGAAGGUGUGGAUGACGUCAAGUCCUCAUGGCCCUUACGGGUUGGGCUACACACGUGCUACAAUGGUAGUGACAAUGGGUUAAUCCCAAAAAGCUAUCUCAGUUCGGAUUGAGG
rnacentral:rRNA from 1 species